rnacentral:rRNA from 1 species
GACGAACGCUGGCGGCGUGCCUAAUACAUGCAAGUAGAACGCUGAGGUUUGGUGUUUACACUAGACUGAUGAGUUGCGAACGGGUGAGUAACGCGUAGGUAACCUGCCUCAUAGCGGGGGAUAACUAUUGGAAACGAUAGCUAAUACCGCAUAAGAGUAAUUAACACAUGUUAGUUAUUUAAAAGGAGCAAUUGCUUCACUGUGAGAUGGACCUGCGUUGUAUUAGCUAGUUGGUGAGGUAAAGGCUCACCAAGGCGACGAUACAUAGCCGACCUGAGAGGGUGAUCGGCCACACUGGGACUGAGACACGGCCCAGACUCCUACGGGAGGCAGCAGUAGGGAAUCUUCGGCAAUGGACGGAAGUCUGACCGAGCAACGCCGCGUGAGUGAAGAAGGUUUUCGGAUCGUAAAGCUCUGUUGUUAGAGAAGAACGUUGGUAGGAGUGGAAAAUCUACCAAGUGACGGUAACUAACCAGAAAGGGACGGCUAACUACGUGCCAGCAGCCGCGGUAAUACGUAGGUCCCGAGCGUUGUCCGGAUUUAUUGGGCGUAAAGCGAGCGCAGGCGGUUCUUUAAGUCUGAAGUUAAAGGCAGUGGCUUAACCAUUGUACGCUUUGGAAACUGGAGGACUUGAGUGCAGAAGGGGAGAGUGGAAUUCCAUGUGUAGCGGUGAAAUGCGUAGAUAUAUGGAGGAACACCGGUGGCGAAAGCGGCUCUCUGGUCUGUAACUGACGCUGAGGCUCGAAAGCGUGGGGAGCAAACAG